AGCAGCCGCGCGGGAAUACGAAGGGUGCAAGCGUUAAUCGGAAUUACUGGGCGUAAAGCGUGCGUAGGCGGUUUGUUAAGUCUGUUGUGAAAUCCCCGGGCUCAACCUGGGAAUGGCAAUGGAUACUGGCAAGCUAGAGUGUGUCAGAGGAUGGUGGAAUUCCCGGUGUAGCGGUGAAAUGCGUAGAGAUCGGGAGGAACAUCAGUGGCGAAGGCGGCCAUCUGGGACAACACUGACGCUGAGGCACGAAAGCGUGGGGAGCAAACAGGAUUAGAUACCCGCGUAGUCCCUGUCUCUUAUACC
rnacentral:rRNA from 1 species